CGGAGUAAGUGCCACCGCUCCGCCUUCUCCUUUUCGCAAUGUUGACGCAAUCUAUAAAUAGUGGAACAAAAGGACCAACUUCCUCGCAGCUUUGCUGAAACUGCACAAAAAAGGCAACGGGGGGGGGGGGGUAUUUUGAUUUUAUUUUCUGCUGGUUAAAGAACAAGCCCCCCCCCGCCCCCGCCCCGCUCCUCUCUCGAUACUGGAAGAUUUUUUUUUCCUCGCUGUCUCCUAUGCUGGCAACGUCCUGCAAGUGGCUAUUUCGCCGUGCGCUGGGAGAAGGGCUCCCCCCCUCUUCUGACAUUUAUGGAUGAAAUCCGUACACUGAUGUCUAACCUGUAAUGAAAGCCGACAUAAAAAUUCAAGUUAAGAAUUCUGAGGAACUGUUUGCGCUGGUGCCUUCGGUCUCUCCAUAAAACCAGGGGGUCUGCGCAGGCUGAGGAGAGCUCACAGGAAAGAAUCCUUCAACAGUCAAAAGUCAAGUGCAGACUAGUGGCUCGAGCUGCGCUGUAAUCUGCCUUUCCUCCGUGGCUUUGAGCAACUCAGAACCUCCAUCUCGAUUUCCCCAUCUGUGAAAUGGGGAUAGAAACACUAACCAAACUAUCAGGUUUUGACCUUUCAAUAGAGAGCUGAUUUUGGAGAACGACUUACUUCUGUGAUUGAAAAACUCUCUCUGGAAGGUUGAUGGAACAUGAGCAUGGUUCUGCCAGCAACUCUGGUGCGAUUUGAAAAUAUGUAAUCUACUGGCAAUGAUGUGCCCAACCUUAAUUGGCGCUGGAGCCUUUGGAAAAGAGAUUGUGUCAUCACACAGAAUAAAAUCCAACAAUAACUGACCUUGAUGAAUCUGUGAAAGAAGAAAACAAAAUUUUUUUACUUCUUAAUUUGCCAAAUGCACAGAAGAAAAAAAAUGGUUUAUGUGAAAUUUAGCCCACUCUGAAGUGGUUAGGUUCUCUGGGGUUGGGGGGAGGUUUCUCUUUUUUUGGGAGAGGGGGUAGAGCUUAGAAAGUUAGCUGAUAAUCAAGGACAGUGAUAGAUGAGGUCUUAACAAUGCAUGUGAACUCUUGAUUUUGAAUAUGUGAAUAUUCAUACCAAAUCUAGCUAAACACUCAAGUGCUUAAACCAUGCAUGCAUGUAAGCUUUUAAGGAACUGAAUCUUUAGCCUUUUGCAGGUAAAACAUUAGCAUUUUCAUGUCAGCAUGGCUCUCCUCUCCCUUUUUCUUCUAGCAGUUUGAUUUUUAGGCCUAAAUCAAAGAGUUAAGGUCUAUUGAUAGAUAAGUUGAUAUCUAAGGCUGUAUUCAAAAUUUUAUUUGUUUGAACAAAGCAAGAACAAAUUUGUAAGUACCAGCAGCAUGCAGGCCACUAUUGCAAUAUUGUUCUGUUCUAUCUUUAAGCAGGUGGUUUCAUGUGGCAGGCUGGAAGAGAGAUUCUUUUUCUUCCCAGCUUUUGACAAAAAGAUGACGCAUAUGACUCAGAAUUAGAAGGGGAAAUCUGCCAGUUUGCAUCAGUUCCUUAACUUGUGGGUUGCUAUUCACCAGAAGGAAAAUCAGUAUUUUCGCACCAAUGCUUCUUGAGAGAUGAGGAGUAAUCAUUUCCUUCAGAAAGUGUAGGAUGAUUGGAGUAGGCCUUUUGUAUGGUAUACUAGGCUUUUUGUAUAAUAAGAUAUUUUUCAACUGUAUUUAAUUUCAGGAGGAAAAAACAAAUAGUGUUCCUAAAAGCUACAUUUGAUGUUUAAAAUAGGAAUCAGACAUCUCUUGCAGCUUAAUGCAGAGUAAAGGCAAAGGAAUCUGCUUUCUUUUGAAAACAUGAAACUUCUAUUUUGAUGGCCCUGAAACUCAAAAACCAUUGUAGGUCUCCACAGUUGAAAGAUAUUUCCUUUGUAGGGGAAUCUCUCAUUGAGAUGAUGAAACUGCUGCAAAAGGAAGGGAAAUUGCAUAGGCUCCUUUUCUUUUAAAAGCAGCAUGCAAGAACUGUGUGGAAGACUGAACAAGCAAGCAAAACGUCUUGCCUCAAGAUAUCACAAGGCACCUGCCCUCCAGUUCCAGUUUUCCUGAGCAGAAACACUGAGAAAGACCAUAACUCUCUUGCUGUUCCCACUUCUUGGCUAAGACCAUCAGGAAGCCUCCUAACAUGGAUAGACUCUGAUUAGCAGGUGACAAGGAGCAAAACAGAUCCUGAUAUUCUCCUUGUACGUAAAUUCUUCUGAAGUAAAGCAUAGCUCAAAUCUAGGAAUGCUAGGCUGUUCUGAGGCAAACUUGGAAUUACUUUGGGUAUUUCAUGCAUUCCCUGCAUCCCUCAAUAGCCAUAAUGCUAGAGCAGAAAUCACCAGUGACAGUGACACUAGGAAUUAAUUUUGAUGAAAUUGAAUCACGGGACCUUUGGAUCCUUCAGCUGAAAGCAGAGUAAACCAACACUCCAUUAUCAAAUCAUGAUCAAAAUUACACUUUAUAAGCCUCCAUGAAGGUCCAGCCUUCAGUACUGCUUCAACGUUUCUCUACUUUGCUGGUCAUUUUCUGUAGUUUCUAUUGGAGAUCAUUUUCCGUAAGUUUCCACCAUCCUGCAGCACUAGCUCCAUGAAGGAUAUUCCUGUGCCCAGUCAAAAUCAGAAGACAGAGAGGUUCUUUCAUAAGGUUCUCUCUGGCUGGACUUCCUACACUAGGCAGAGACUUCAGGUGUUGUUCACGCUAUCUUAAUUUACAGAGAUAGGGACUGACUGCAUUUCUCAGCAUCUCUAUAUUCUCAUUAACUUUUCAUAAAUGACAGGGGUCCUUGAGGUGUUUUCUAACUAGGUGCCAUCCAGAUCUCCAACCUCAGCCCAUCAAAGAGAAAGCCUGUUGUUGCUGUAGCACCAGAUGUCAUAGUACAGUCUAUGUGCACGUUUCAUCCUCCUUCUCUCACCAGAUGGUAGUUCCUAAUUCAUUAUCACCUUCCUCUGAUGAGUACAAAGCCUUAAAAGUUCUAAUUGGCAGAAUAGUUUUACCAAAUACCAAAAACAUCACUAAAUGCAAUCGGAUUAGACUAUAGUCUCACAACAGGGUUCUCUGGCAGGAAAGCUGCCUCCAACAACAGCAAAAAUGGACACCUAGAGAAAAAAAAGUUUGAUCUCUACUGGAGAAGGAGCUAUCCCUCUGUAAAUGAGGGUCCCAGACUGCCUACAAACCAUACCGUCUAAAAAGGGUGUUUAUAAUUAAUAUUUGUAAAUACUAAUUUAAAGUGAUAAGAUUGCCAUAGACAUCUAGAGAGUAAUUUAGAUAUGAUGCAGUAGAGACCAUUUAUAGCAAUAAUAACAUUUCUGGCAAAAAAUGUCCAUGAAGACAACAUCUUUUAGGUUACUUUUAAGUACAAGCAGCUACUAAAUACUUUGUGAUCUGCUUAAUAUAGAUAAGGUUCUGCAAUACUGUUGUUAGGUCUCUGAGAGAGUAAAGACCUGUUCCCAAGCACAGGUGUCACAAAGCACUGACUUUCCAACUGUACAGACCUACAGGCCCUCCAACAAAGCAACUAAAGAGUUAGAGAGAAAAAAGUCUUUCCUUGUGUGAGGCAGUUCACCUGCUUCUUUAAUCAACAUGGCAGCAUCAGACAUCACACCUGCAUAUCCUAUUUUAGUCACUCAUUUACUCCAUUCUAUUCCAGGGUAUUUUAAUGGGAGUGUGUUAGAUCAUUAGGGACAUUCUUUGCUUAGGGGAAAGAGAUCCCACUUACUCUUUUAAAAAAGGAAGGAAAAAAGGGUUGAGUUAAUGCCUCAGUUCCCAUACGGUAUUUGCUUUGGCUUGUCCCGGUUCUGAGAUGUGAAUACAUACAUCUGAAAGAUCGGAUAUAAAGUAAUAUUUCCAGCUAGCAGUUUUUCGUCACCAGAUUAAAAUGCCAUGCUCCGAGCUUUCAAAAUGGGCAUUUCCCCAUUGUUAUCCACCCAGCCCAAAGAAGCUAUGUGAUCUUUGUAGUGGGAGUCAUUGCCUCCAGUAGGAGAUCUGCUUGCUUGUCAUCACUUAUUUCAGAAAAACAGAAAUCCACAUCUUCAUAUCCUGAAUGCUCUGGAUGUGAACUCCUGCAACCUGUCAUCGGAUCCUUCAUUCAUGGCUACAUCUUGGUGCUGUGAGUAAACAAGAAGUCAACAGUGAUCCCUCCACACAAAACAGAGUAUCGAAACCAUAGCAGACUGCUGCUGCAAUAGCUUAUCUUGUAUGACUUCAUGAAUGUUCAGUUUCAAGCUCAAGCUUACCUUAGAAGUUGAGUGAGAGCAUGCAUCAGGCUUUGAGUAGCUAAGCAUUACAGAUUGCUACAGCACAGCUUCUUAGGCAAGCUAGAGCCAAAAGAGCAGCUACACAAGUGUUCCUGUGCUUGUUCGUGCGUUUGCCAGAAAAGGUUUUCCAUAGAAUCUCUGAAAUAGUAGGUGAGUCUUAUCUUUUGCCCAUCCUUUUCCACAUGCAUCCAUAAGGAUUUGGGGACUCCACUUGAACACUAGUGAACUCUGGAUUGCACCAUCAUACUUCACUGGUCAAAGAAAUCUCUUCUUGAAUAAUGACAGACAACACUGUUUGGGAUGAAAGUUCUGCUUUGCCUAAACAAAGGUGGGAGAAGGAUCUCAGUUAUGCCAAGGGCCAUGCAGUUACAAGUUUUCAUUUAGGCUCUUGACAACAUUGCCGUAAUAGUCAUUAGGCCAUUAAUGUGUUCCAGGGAUCCGCAUUAUACUGGGCCAUCUUCAGAAGAUAAUGUUUUGAGCGAUCAUAGGUACCAAAGGAAAAUUAUAUGGCUUAAGAACCUGUUUGCAAACAUGGAAAACAGAUAAUCUGCUGAUUAUCUGAACAGAAAACAUUCUGCUCCAGGAGAAGAUGCCUUUCUGGUUUAUGGAAACCUAGGUUUACUGCCCUCAGUACUGCAACUUGAAUUAAAGCAAAACAAAGGCGAUGAACAGGAAGCAUCCAGUUUAACAGUGGCGUGUAACCUAAGCACUGCCAAAGUAAUGCUGGCAUUUGGAUCAUCAAAGUUUGUCUGUUCAGCCACCAAAAGCUUGGCUUCUAUUUCCAGAUGUCACGUAUCAAAAUGAUCAAUCCAUCCAACAACUGGAUCCUUCAGUGUUUCACUUCCUAGUGCUGAUGCGAGACUGACUUCUGAGAGAGAAAUUUGGUUCUUCAGAUAUGCACAAUAUACACAAUAUAAGAUGCUCCAUAUAUUUGCUUACCUAGCCAAACUGGAAAAAAAAAAAUGUCCCUGUGGCCUCAUGAAAAUCUAAAUCUCUCAUCUAAGUCAUUCUGUGCCUUUUCCAAGUUCCUUUAGUAGCUAUCACCCACCCAUUCAUUUACUCGUAUAAGAUUUUCUGCUUUUCCUUAUCUGGUGUUGAAAUUUCUGACAGCUCUGUUAACUGCCUUCCCUUCGAUACAAUAAGUUGUGUCUGUUUGGUUCCACAAAGACCGUGACUCCAGCCGAGUUCUGUCCCUUGACUCCCUUUCUCUUUCCCUACUGGGAAAAAAAGGGAGUUUGCUUUCAUCUGUGGAUCCCUGUACUUCUUUAAAGAGAAGCAGAGCCUGCACUCCACCAGUGACCAGACCUAGGAGCAAGCUGAAGUAGUAAAAAAGUGCACAGAUUAGAGGAAAGAAGGAUCAGCAUGAGCUCUAGUUAUUGUUCAAUACAACACUGUGAAAGAAAUGAAAUGUCAAUAAUUGUUUUAUUACCUAUUUGCUAUCACGGUAAUAAAUAAAGAAAUAAAUAAAUAGCAUAGAGCAGCCAUUUCAAAAAGGCCUCAAUGAAAACUAAAAUCUCCCUUUGAAAUUUAAAGAAAAUUGAGUUCCUAACUUUGAAGUCAUUGGAAAAUCCUAGGCUUGAUGUUUCCAAUCUGUUGUCUUUUUUUUCCAGCAUAGAAUCAGGAUGGAACAAUGUUGCAACGUUUAAUUCUUAACAGUUUCAGCAAGGGUUCAAAUGACCGUUGUAGCAGAAAUUUGCUUAGAAAGCAAAGCACUACAUUCAUUCUCUGAAGCGGAUUUGUACACACUGCUGUUUCCAACCUUUAGGGCUGCAUUUAUCAUCCUUCCAACCAGAAAGAAGCCACCAGUUAUUGAACCAUUGCAUUGUAGAUGUGUAGAAAUGGAGUAAGAAAUUCAUGGAGAAAUUUACACAUCAGAUCACACUUAUAGAUAAAACUUCAGGGAGAUAUUUUUGCAGAAACUACACUACAGUCUAGAAAAUUGACAUGCCUUUUUCUUUUUUUAAUAGAAGUCAAAUUUAUUUGUAUUUUAUGUGAUGACUAGUGAUGUGCAUCCCACCCAUUCAUUUGAGAAUAUUCUGGGCUCCAGGCAUAUCUCCAGCCAGUUCCAGACUAUUCAGAUCAUUGUUGGUCCAUCCAAUGCUAGUCACAACAAGGCAUUCUGUGACUAAUUACGGCCUGACUGCAACAGGAGAUGCAGCUUCAAAGACUGAGAGUCUUCAGAUGCGCUAGCAGUUCCCUUGGUUCCCAGUUCUUUAUUUAUGUGGAUUACAUUGAGCUGACAGAUUUAACUGGGCUGUUGAAGAUAUGGUCAAAGAAGUGGAGUCACUCCCUCCCCUUUUAUUGUUUUCUGAAGACAUAAUAGUCAUAUGCAUCUGUCACUAGAGAGAGGAAGUUCUCCAUCACUGGACUUGAUUUGGUCUUUUAUAUGCUGUUUCAGUAGCAUCUGGGAAUAGAUCAAUAUAAUAUUUGGUAGGGAGUUGUAUUUCCUCGUGAUGCACUGUAAAUCUUUUAUUGUAGAUACUCCCACUGAUUAUUGUUGAAAAUCAAUAAAAAUAAACCUUGUAAAGUUAAAGCCUGGCAAUGGUUCAGCACAAAUCAUAGGGAAAGAAUAAGAGGCAAUGAGUCUCCCUUCCCCUCUUGGAUAGUUCCCAGCUUGUUUCCCAAUGAAUAUUCAAUAACACUUUCCAGCAAUCUGGGAAUACAUUUUUUUUUUGAAUUAUUCAAAGUUAUGAACACUUUUUUGUGAUCUCAGAUGGGAUUUCUAAUCCACUUUGGCUGCUUUAUGAUACUGGAUUCAGCUAUGGAUCAAGACUGAAUAUCACCCAGCCUGUGUGUUGCAUACACCUUAGACUUAUCCCCUUCAGAGACAGGCAAAAGUACAUCAGCCUUGCGCAUCUCAGCUUAAGUGAGUUAUUUUUGAGCAUUGCAACAAUGUUCAAAAAAAUAACCAAAUAGGACACUAACCAAAGUAGGUUAAAAAAAAAAAAAAAGAAAAAGUGGUGGUGGCAGGGGGCGGAACAGCCUAAUGUGAAGAAAAAUUCCUCCAGUUAAAACAGAAGUUACUACCCCUAUUUGCAAGCACACAGAAGCAGGGCAGAAUGCAAUUACCACAGAAUAAUUCUUUUGCCCAUAACUAUUAAUUCCUCAUAUACUGCAUCUUAGGCUGGAGUCCUCUACUAUUUUUGUGAGAUUCAACUAAGCAGGGAAAUGAAAAAUGUUUUGGAAUUGUAUAACCAAGGAGAAAACUUUCCAGUACAAAGACCACAGCUAAAAGAUCAGUCUUUUUCAGUCUAACCACUAUAUCAGUCAAAAUAGGUUUAUUUAAACAACUAUUCUUAAUUAAUUAUACAAUCUUAUGAGCAUUGACUGCUGAACAUACAAGGCUUUCCUAAAAGAAUGAAAUUCUUUUCAUGCUUUUCCUAGAAGGAUGAAAACUCUCAAGAAUAAUCAUUUAGAAAGCAGGAUCCAAAGAUUUUCCACUGCUGGGCAAGGGGACAAAGAAAAGGAAGGUGGUUCACAUUGGACUCUCUCCUUCCUGCCAUCAGCAGAUUACUGAAAAAUUCAGGUGGGAGAUAAAGCAUGUGUCCCUGGAAGAGGUGACAAGAACUAAAUAGAACUUCCCAGUUUGCGAAGAAGCAGACAAAAAGCUAUUUAAAAGCACAAAAAUGUAAUCAAUCACUACCAAAGGUAAGUCAACACAGUGCAAGAGCAGGGGGUUGAAAAAAAAUGAAAACACUACCUUGUUGGGCAGAGGCAUCAUAAGGCUUUAUUGAGGAAGCCCCUUGAAUAAAGAAUGCAAGAUGAAAUCCAACUAUAAAGAAAAAUGAUUAGAAUAAAAAUGGAGAU